rnacentral:rRNA from 1 species
CCUACGGGGGGCAGCAGUGGGGAAUAUUGGACAAUGGGCGAAAGCCUGAUCCAGCCAUGCCGCGUGUGUGAAGAAGGCCUUCGGGUUGUAAAGCACUUUCAGUGGGGAAGAAAGCCUUGGGGCUAAUACCCUCGAGGAAGGACAUCACCCACAGAAGAAGCACCGGCUAACUCCGUGCCAGCAGCCGCGGUAAUACGGAGGGUGCGAGCGUUAAUCGGAAUUACUGGGCGUAAAGCGCGCGUAGGCGGUCUGAUAAGCCGGUUGUGAAAGCCCCGGGCUCAACCUGGGAACGGCAUCCGGAACUGUCAGGCUAGAGUGCAGGAGAGGUAGGUAGAAUUCCCGGUGUAGCGGUGAAAUGCGUAGAGAUCGGGAGGAAUACCAGUGGCGAAGGCGGCCUUCUGGACUGACACUGACGCUGAGGUGCGAAAGCGUGGGUAGCAAACAGGAUUAGAUACCCGGGUAGUC